AUGCCUUGGUUGCCAGAGGCACGGUGGUUCUGGCGGAGUUCAGUGCCGUCACCGGCAACACAGGCGCCGUCGCUCGUCGGUUACUCGAGAAGCUUCCUACCGAAUCGGAUUCCAGACUUUGCUUCUCUCAAGAUAGAUAUAUCUUCCACAUACUCCGAUCUGAUGGCCUCGCGUACCUUUGUAUGGCCAACGACACCUUCGGAAGAUCAGUAUUCUUUCUAG